ensembl:lncRNA
GAGAAUAGAUGAGGUAGAGAGAGGGAGAACAGGUGAGGUAGAGAGAGGGAGAAUAGAUGAGGUAGAGAGAGGGAGAAUAGAUGAGGUAGAGAGAGGGAGAAUAGGUGAGGUAGAGAGAGAGGGAGAAUAGGUGAGGUAGAGAGAGGGAGAACAGAUGAGGUAGAGAGAGGGAGAACAGAUGAGGUAGAGAGCGGGAGAACAGGUGAGGUAGAGAGAGGGAGAACAGAUGAGGUAGAGAGCGGGAGAACAGGUGAGGUAGAGAGAAGGAGAAUAGAUGAGGUAGAGAGCGGGAGAACAGGUGAGGUAGAGAGAAGGAGAAUAGGUGAGGUAGAGAGAGGGAGAACAGAUGAGGUAGAGAGAGAGGGAG